AAGCCAGUGGUGAACUCCACAUACGCAUCCUUUGCUGAGGAUACGGUUAACGGAGCGAAAGCGACGUUCAACCUCAAAAGAAGCAGAGGGGGCUUAGUGGUGGGGUGACUGCGUACCUUUUGUAUAAUGGGUCAGCGACUUAUAUUCUGUAGCAAGGUUAACCGUAUAGGGGAGCCGGAGGGAAACCGAGUCUUAACCGGGCGUUAAGUUGCAGGGUAUAGACCCGAAACCCGGUGAUCUAGCCAUGGGCAGGUUGAAGGUUGGGUAACACUAACUGGAGGACCGAACCGACUAAUGUUGAAAAAUUAGCGGAUGACCUGUGGCUGGGGGUGAAAGGCCAAUCAAACCGGGAGAUAGCUGGUUCUCCCCGAAAGCUAUUUAGGUAGCGCCUCGUGAAUUCAUCUCCGGGGGUAGAGCACUGUUUCGGCUAGGGGGUCAUCCCGACUUACCAACCCGAUGCAAACUGCGAAUACCGGAGAAUGUUAUCACGGGAGACACACGGCGGGUGCUAACGUCCGUCGUGAAGAGGGAAACAACCCAGACCGCCAGCUAAGGUCCCAAAGUCAUGGUUAAGUGGGAAACGAUGUGGGAAGGCCCAGACAGCCAGGAUGUUGGCUUAGAAGCAGCCAUCAUUUAAAGAAAGCGUAAUAGCUCACUGGUCGAGUCGGCCUGCGCGGAAGAUGUAACGGGGCUAAACCAUGCACCGAAGCUGCGGCAGCGACACUCAGGUGUUGUUGGGUAGGGGAGCGUUCUGUAAGCCUGCGAAGGUGGCCUGUGAGGGUUGCUGGAGGUAUCAGAAGUGCGAAUGCUGACAUAAGUAACGAUAAAGCGGGUGAAAAGCCCGCUCGCCGGAAGACCAAGGGUUCCUGUCCAACGUUAAUCGGGGCAGGGUGAGUCGACCCCUAAGGCGAGGCCGAAAGGCGUAGUCGAUGGGAAACGGGUUAAUAUUCCCGUACUUGGUGUUACUGCGAAGGGGGGACGGAGAAGGCUAUGUUGGCCGGGCGACGGUU
rnacentral:rRNA from 1 species